AAUGGACGAAAGUCUGACGCAGCAACGCCGCGUGUGGGAUGAAGGCCCUCUGGGUCGUAAACCACUGUUGGGAGGGAAGAACGUUCGGGGCAUGGCCCUGAAGUGACGGUACCUCCAUAGAAAGCCCCGGCUAACUACGUGCCAGCAGCCGCGGUAAUACGUAGGGGGCAAGCGUUGUCCGGAUUUACUGGGUGUAAAGGGCGUGUAGGCGGAUCGUUAAGUCAGAGGUGAAAGCUCACAGCUCAACUGUGAAAUUGCCUUUGAUACUGGCGGUCUUGAGUACGAAAGAGGAAGAUGGAAUUCCUGGUGUAGCGGUGAAAUGCGUAGAUAUCAGGAGGAACACCGGUGGCGAAGGCGGUCUUCUGGUUCGUAACUGACGCUGAGGCGCGAAAGCAUGGGGAUCAAA
rnacentral:rRNA from 1 species